GACGAACGCUGGCGGCGUGCUUAACACAUGCAAGUCGAACGAAGUAGCGAACGGGUGCGUAAUACGUGGGUACCCUGCCCUCCUUUUUGGGAUAAGCCUUGGUAACGGGGUCUAAUACCUAAUACCGGGGGGUGGGCUCGCGGUGUAUCAGCUGGUUGGUGUGGUGAUGGCCUACCAAGGCGGUGCCGGGUAGCCGGCCGGAGAGGGUGACCGGCAACAUUGGGACUGAGAUACGGCCCAGACUCCUACGGGAGGCAGCAGUGGGGAAUAUUGGACAAUGGACGAAAGCCUGAUGCAGCAACGCCGCGUGGGGGAUGAAGGCUUUCGGGUUGUAAAGCACUGUCAGCGGGGAGGCGGUAUCCGAAGAGGAAGCACCGGCUAAAUACGUGCCAGCAGCCGCGGUAAUUC
rnacentral:rRNA from 1 species